GACGAACGCUGGCGGCGUGCUUAACACAUGCAAGUCGAACGGAAAGGCCCCUUUGGGGGUCCUCGAGUGGCGAACGGGUGCGUAACACGUGAGUAACCUGCCCCUGACUUCGGGAUAACUUCAGGAAACUGGGGCUAAUACCGGAUAGGAAUCCUAGCUGCAUGGUGGGGGUUGGAAAGCUUCGGCGGUUUUGGCUGGACUCGCGGCGUAUCAGCUUGCUGGUGGGGUAGUGGCUUACCAAGGCUUGGUCGGGUAGCCGGCCUGAGAGGGCGACCGGCCACAUUGGGACUGAGAGACGGCCCAGACUCCGACGGGUGGCAGCAGGGGGGAAGAUUGCACAAGGAGCGGAGGCCUGAUGCAGCAACGCCGCGGGCGGGAUGACGGCCUUCGGGUGGUAAACCGCUUGCAGCAGGGGCGAAGCUUGUGGUGACGGUACCUGCAGAAGAAGCACCGGCUAACUACGUG
rnacentral:rRNA from 1 species